rnacentral:rRNA from 1 species
GAUGAACGCUGGCGGCGUGCCUAAUACAUGCAAGUCGAGCGAACGGACGAGAAGCUUGCUUCUCUGAUGUUAGCGGCGGACGGGUGAGUAACACGUGGAUAACCUACCUAUAAGACUGGGAUAACUUCGGGAAACCGGAGCUAAUACCGGAUAAUAUUUUGAACCGCAUGGUUCAAAAGUGAAAGACGGUCUUGCUGUCACUUAUAGAUGGAUCCGCGCUGCAUUAGCUAGUUGGUAAGGUAACGGCUUACCAAGGCAACGAUGCAUAGCCGACCUGAGAGGGUGAUCGGCCCCACUGGAACUGAGACACGGUCCAGACUCCUACGGGAGGCAGCAGUAGGGAAUCUUCCGCAAUGGGCGAAAGCCUGACGGAGCAACGCCGCGUGAGUGAUGGAGGUCUUCGGAUCGUAAAACUCUGUUAUUAGGGAGGAACAUAUGUGUAAGUAACUGUGCACAUCUUGACGGUACCUAAUCAGAAAGCCACGGCUAACUACGUGCCAGCAGCCGCGGUAAUACGUAAGUGGCAAGCGUUAUCCGGAAUUAUUGGGCGUAAAGCGCGCGUGGGCGGUUUUUUAAGUCUGAUGUGAAAGCCCACGGCUCAACCGUGGAGGGUCAUUGGAAACUGGAAAACUUGAGUGCAGAAGAGGAAAGUGGAAUUCCAUGUGUAGCGGUGAAAUGCGCAGAGAUAUGGAGGAACACCAGUGGCGAAGGCGACUUUCUGGUCUGUAACUGACGCUGAUGUGCGAAAGCGUGGGGAUCAAACAGGAUUAGAUACCCUGGUAGUCCACGCCGUAAACGAUGAGUGCUAAGUGUUAGGGGGUUUCCGCCCCUUAGUGCUGCAGCUAACGCAUUAAGCACUCCGCCUGGGGAGUACGACCGCAAGGUUGAAACUCAAAGGAAUUGACGGGGACCCGCACAAGCGGUGGAGCAUGUGGUUUAAUUCGAAGCAACGCGAAGAACCUUACCAAAUCUUGACAUCCUUUGACAACUCUAGAGAUAGAGCUUUCCCCUUCGGGGGACAAAGUGACAGGUGGUGCAUGGUUGUCGUCAGCUCGUGUCGUGAGAUGUUGGGUUAAGUCCCGCAACGAGCGCAACCCUUAAGCUUAGUUGCCAUCAUUAAGUUGGGCACUCUAAGUUGACUGCCGGUGACAAACCGGAGGAAGGUGGGGAUGACGUCAAAUCAUCAUGCCCCUUAUGAUUUGGGCUACACACGUGCUACAAUGGACAAUACAAAGGGCAGCGAAACCGUGAGGUCAAGCAAAUCCCAUAAAGUUGUUCUCAGUUCGGAUUGUAGUCUGCAACUCGACUACAUGAAGCUGGAAUCGCUAGUAAUCGUAGAUCAGCAUGCUACGGUGAAUACGUUCCCGGGUCU